CUGAAAUGAAUGUCCUGUCCCUGGUUGCAAGAAUAUGAGAGACAAGAGUUACACAAUGGUUACUGGAGCAUGGUUAUCAACUCCAAAUGCAGCUUCUCAGCUUGGGAAGAGGGACAUGGAGACUAGGCAAGUUUCUGCUUUGACCUUUCAUUCCAGGCUGAGAUGCUGUUAUGUAUUCCUGCUAGUCAAGAAGGAGAGAAUCCAAGCCUGGCUCCUACUUCCUGGCCUCCCUCCUUCCUCUGCAAUGUCUCUGGAUGGGGAAGGGUGAGAGCACUUUGUGAUCCUGCUGCCUGGGCAGCUCCUUGCAGAGGUAACAGAGCUCUCUGACAGAGUAGGUCAGCAACAAGAUCUCAGCCUACAGACACAGCUCCACCUUAGGGCUUGCAUAGGGCAGCUGCCUUUCAACUCCCAUCAUGAAAAGCCUGUGUACCACCACCUUGGGCAAUAGCUCUGAACAUUAGCGGCUCAGUGGUGGUGCUUACAUCCCUGCUUCUCUGACUGGUAAUUCCCCACACCAGUUGAAGGAGUGUUGCCUGUCUGCAUAGUGGGAAUUGCUUUGAGGUCUGGACAACAUGCUGCCCCAGCCAGGUGGGAAGAUGUGUCUGCACUCCUGGUCAGCACCAGUAUCUGCCCUCUGAUUUUUGAAGGGACAUUGUAAUAACUUCUUCAGCUGGAAGCCUUGUGACCAGCUGAGCCUUCUCCAUUCUCAUGACAAGAAACCUGCAUUUGCAGCUCUUUAAGAAGGUAUGACCCUGACUCUUCAAGGACCAGAACACACAAUGGACAUGAAACCACACCAACCAAAAAUCAGUUUUAGAUUGUAAAAAGGCUUUUAGACAAAAGAAGGAAAUAAGAAGGGGGCCCAGGCCUUUCACAGAAGGUGGGAAAACAUCCUGGACAUGAAAGAAAGAUUUCAGCUCACUGAUUUAUGGCUCCUGAAGAGAGAAACUGAAAAAUCACUAUCGAAGAUUGAUGGACCUAGAAAAUAGAAACUGGACUCCCACAUCUGGAAACUGGACCCCACCAUCUGGGAGACAUAUCCUGGAUGUACAUCCUGGAAUACUGAAAUAUCGAAAUAGAUCACAAUAGCCUAUAG